AAUCACAGAAGUGGCAUCUCAUCAUCUUUGUCAUAUUCUAUUGGUCAGUAGCAAGUCAUAGGUUCUACCAAGGAGUUUUCACUAAUAGUGAGAUACACAGAGUAGUGAUCCAAUUAAAAGAAAUGGCCAUGAAACAAAUAUUCAAAAGAAUAAGUACAUCAUACAAACUCUUGCUACAGAAGGAAAGAAUAAAGUGUUAUCAGGACAUGUAAUAGAGGGAGACGGUAGCAUUGAAGAUAUCCCCGACAAGGAUGAGAUUUGAGCUAAAAUAUGAAAGAAGAGAGAGAGUUUAAUUAAACAGCAUAGAGAAGGGAAAAGUGAAAAAUUCUAAGAAUGAACUGUAUGUUCCAAAGCUCUAUGGUAGGAUAAAAUCAUGGCACAUUAAAGAAAUGGAAGGAAAGCCCACGUGUCUGAAGGAGAGAAACUGAGGAAGAGGAAGGGCGAGGCAUUGGAUAAGAAGAGCAGACCCCAGAGUAGAAGUGUCAUGCGGCCUUCCUGUAGACCUGCAUGCCAACGGUGACAGAGAAGGAAAUAGUGACUGGCUUGCCCAAGAGGUGAUUUACUUUGAAGAGCAUCUGGUUAGGAGGAGCUCAUCUCAGCGAGGGAUGAAAGUUAUUUCUAACCGACUGAAAGCAAAUCAUUCAGGAUUUUCCAGUACAAAACAAUAUGAAUUUAUUAGCAGAUCGAUGGUAAGUUUGAAAACACAUGAGGACCCUGAUACAAAGUCCUGAUAAGACCAAAGAAGCCAAAGCCAAAGAAAUCAUUGCCAUCCCUGCAUAUUUGAGUCAUGCUCAUGCCAUGUCAUGAAAACACGUUGUGAGAGAAAUUACA